GCCAACUUAGCUCAGCUGGUAGAGCGGCGGUAUCGUAAACCGCAGGUCAAGGGUUCGAUCCCCUUAGUUGGCU
rnacentral:tRNA from 1 species